GAUUAACGCUGGCGGCGUGCCUAACACAUGCAAGUCGAGCGGCAGCGAGUUUUACACUGAAUUCUGGAAGCUUCUAGUUGAAAGAGAAGAUUUAUUCAAGAAUUUUGUGUAAAAUGUCGGCGAGCGGCGGACGGCUGAGUAACGCGUGGGAACGUACCCCAAAGUGAGGGAUAACGCAUCGAAAGGUGUGCUAAUACCGCAUAUGGUCUUCGGAUUAAAGCCUUCGGGCGCUUUGAGAACGGCCUGCGUAAGAUUAGAUAGUUGGUGGGGUAAUGGCCUACCAAGUCGACGAUCUUUAACUGGUUUGAGAGGAUGAUCAGUCAGACUGGAACUGAGACACGGUCCAGACUCCUACGGGAGGCAGCAGUGAGGAAUCUUCCACAAUGGGCGAAAGCCUGAUGGAGCAACGCCGCGUGCAGGAUGAAGGCCUUCGGGUUGUAAACUGCUUUUAUAAGUGAGGAUUAUGACAGUAACUUAUGAAUAAGGAUCGGCUAACUACGUG
rnacentral:rRNA from 1 species